AUGGCCGAGGAUGCUUCUGAAAAGGCCCCCGGUGCCCUUCCCAACAGUAUCCCAAGCCCCGUAAUAUUUCCGGACCCCAACGUCACUGCGACCACGAAGGACUCUUGUGAAAGGAUUGCCCAGACAGAAAACAGGCCGCUUGAGAACGACCGGCAACACGGUUCCCCAGGAACAGAUGAAGCGGCCUCACCUGGAGAAGGGGACGGUCAAGAAAGGGCAGGGGUAUCCAAAGAGGAGAAAGCAGCUUCAGAGAAGAGCCCAGAGCCUGCUGAAGGACAGGCAGGACCGCCAGAAACGCCAGACCCCCAGAGCACCCAGAUGAGGUUGGACGGUGAAUCUAAGCCCCCAAAUCUAAAAACUCCCCUAAAGGCCCCCGAGACGGGUCCGGAAAGGCAGGGCAGCCCUCCGAGCAGCAAGGACGCCCCGUGUACCGAGAAUUCUCCCCUUCCCCAACCCAAAACUCCUGCCGAGAGCCAGAGUUCAAAGACGGAACAAAGCAAACCAGCGGACAGCAGCGAGCCGCUUCGAAGAAGCCUUGAAAAGCCGGGCCCGAAGGAGAAAGCCCACGGUUACAAAAAAACCGACCAAGAAUAUUAUCGUCCUAAAAGGAAGCGUUCUGAAACGGAGGAAGACGAGGAGGCGGAGGAGGAGGCUGACGGGGCGGGUGGACGGAGCCAGCCUGAUGGACACUGCAGUAAGCAGAGGUGCGCUUACAGUAGGGAGCGAGGGAAACAGCAGGAGCAGCCCCGGCGGGAAUACCACGGCACCAGCUACUACAGGUUCCCGGGUAGUCCCGAUCCCGCCAGGAGUUUGGGGAAGUACCCUCCCUACAGACCCCGCAGCCGAGGCCAAACGGACUCUGAACGGAGCAGGCCCAGUUACGGGAAAGGGGGAGAGAGGUCGUGGAGCAGGGAGCGGCACUACCAGGAGACGCCGAGGAGGUGGGAUGCGUGCCGGUCGUACAGUUACUACUACUCGGCCUCCCACGUGCCCCGGCAUAACCAGGAGAGGAAGCCGACCCAUUCCGAGAGAGACUAUAGCAAAUCAAGUCAUGUUUACAGUAGCCCCUAUAGUAAGUACGAUUAUUACAAAAGCCGUUUGAGCCACAACCUCGACAGGAAAAAGCGCGUUUCCCUAAGUCCCGAGGCCAGCGACUGUGCCCCCGAAAAGAAACCCCCCAAAAUCUUGCCAGACCCUUCUCUCGACGAACUAAAGGGACGGAAGCGGAAGAAGUCCAAGAAGAAGAAGAAGUUAAAAGAUAAACACAAGGAGAAAGAGUCCAGGUGA
rnacentral:lncRNA from 1 species